rnacentral:misc_RNA from 1 species
GAAAUGCGAUAAGUAGUGUGAAUUGCAGAAUUCAGUGAAUCAUCGAAUCUUUGAACGCACAUUGCGCCCUUUGGUAUUCCUUAGGGCAUGCCUGUUCGAGCGUCAUCUAAACCCUCAAGCACUGCUUGGUGUUGGGCGUCUUUGUCCCGCCUCUGGCGCGGACUCGCCUUAAAAUCAUUGGCAGCCUGUGUAUUGGCUUCGAGCGCAGCAGACUCGCGCGUCGUCCCCUCCAGCACAGGCGUUCCAACAAGCCUCACCCACUAAGUUUGACCUCGGAUCAGGUAGGGAUACCCGCUGAACUUAA